UUUUAAGAUCCUGUCUGUUUCUGACACGGCAGUGAAAUGGUAAAGUCCAGUCUGACUGUUGUCCUUCAGGGAAUUCUGAGCAGAAAAAGAUUUCAACUGAUGAGUAAACAGGAAAUAUUUGACUUGAACGGACCAUCUUUAAAUAAAUGGACUACUUUCAGCUCCAUUAGGACUCUCUUCAGCAGCUCGUAACAUUGUUUUGACAUAUCCAGCAGCAUUUAGCAUGUUUUUUCCCCUUUUCUGUUAUCUAUCAACGUCAUUGUUCUUCGAUGAACUCUGUGAAGUGCAGAAAACAAACCAGAGACUCGUCUGGGUUUUGGAAAAGACGCUUCAGGCAGAACCAUAAACUGAAAUUCAGUAACUGAGUAAAGAUUUUACAGUCAACUAUUAACUGCUAUGUAACAUCUCUUUUCAAUAGUUUAUGCGAUUAAAAAAAACAUAUAGACAUCAAGCUCAUGUAAAUAAUAACUACAUUAAAUAUGUAGUUAUUAUUCAAUCCAACAGGGAACAAAGACAAAAAUGAGGAAACUGUUGAUUUAUAGAGGUAUUUCACUCACUCUGUGAACACUCUUGAGACUAGAGUUGGAAACAACCACUUGUGUGUGGCUAAGGGUGAAGGUAGAUUUGCUAAGUAUAAUAGCGCCACCUAGUGCCCUGAGUGAUUCUGACCAGAGAUAAAAAGUGGAUCAAGAUCCCUUACAAAGUUUGACUUUAAAGGACACAAAGAACCUCCAAGAAUCCUUGGUUAUGAAGGAUCAAGUGUUUGGUGAUUAGAUCCAGACAGGCAGUCCAGACUAUCAUCACUGAGUUUUGGGACAGCUGCAGAUCAGUGAGCAUUUUACAGAAUAAAGUAAAGGAAAAAUGAAGGUUUUGAAGUUUAUAAAAACCAUUUACUGUGAAUACAUUUAUGCUUGUAGCCUCUCAAAGAACCGUGUUUUCCCACGUUUGUUAGUUAUUCCCACAGGGGAUUUGGCAGAGGUUUUUACACCAGAUGCCCUUCCUGACACAACCCUGUAUUUUAUCUGGGCUGUGUCGGGGAGACCCAGACUACCCAUAGGUAGGCAGUAGCGUGAAGUGUCUUUCCUAAGGACCCACACUGGAUCAAUCUCAUGGGAAAUGAGUCGUUUUCCCAUGUGCCUGUGAUGCAGUCAACUGAGCCAUCCACCUGCAAUAAUAAAGGGACAGCUGUGAUAAUUUAAAUCAGAUUUGGGUAAUUAAAUUAGCUAAUUCAUCUGAAUUCCAUUUUUAUUCAAAUUUGUGUUAAAAGACUAUUUUUACUAUAUUUUUGUGCUGUUUAUUUAUUUAUUUAUUUAUUUUUUGCUGGUCAUGUACUAAAAGUUUAUAUCAGUGAUGUUUCCCUGCUUUCACUGUACACAUGUUCACAGAACAGACAUGCUCUUUCUUGAUGAUCCACUAGAUGGCAGUGUAAGUCUGUGGAUGUUUUGGGUUUGUGAACCCAUUAACCCCCGUUCCACACACCCCUCGCCCCCAAGAGUGAGAGAAUCCUCUUUUUUCCCAGCACUGCAACAUGAAAAUGGGGCAGUUUGAUGCUUUUUUCAGCUGAAGCUUGAAUGUGAAUGUCUGGACCUGCGAGAAGUCCAGGAUGGAAAGACCUGAAAAAUGGUUUUCCUACUCUCCUGUCUUUCCUUGCUGCAUGCAUGAUUCACACCUCCGCUCCUCUUGCUGUCAGAAUGGCCCGUCUGAGGGCAGCCAUCUGCCCCAGCUGGCUGCUAAAGCCUCUGCCAGCCGUUUGAUGUUGAGGAGGAGCUCUGGAGACGCUGGCGAGGACGUCAAAGCAAGAACCACAAACUACAAAGCAGCAGGUCUCAUCUGUGGCUGAGAUGACCGUGAGAGCCUCCAGGUGGUGACAAGCCACCAGAGAAGAGAACCAAGUGAGCAAUAAGCUGCAAGUUUGAUUCAAAAUGAACUCAUUUUCUAUGAUUGGAAGCUUGAAGGGGAAGAAGUUCAACUGUCUAAUCACGAAAAGCAUUAAAAGUAAUCGUCUUAAUGGA